rnacentral:rRNA from 1 species
UUGCGCGCACCGGCGGACGGCUCAGUAACACGUCGGUAACCUACCCUCGGGAGGGGGACAACCCCGGGAAACUGGGGCUAAUCCCCCAUAGGUUUAGGGCACUGGAAUGUCCCUAAACCGAAAGGGGCUCUGCCCGCCCGAGGAUGGGCCGGCGGCCGAUUAGGUAGUUGGUGGGGUAACGGCCCACCAAGCCCAUAAUCGGUACGGGCAGUGAGAGCUGGAGCCCGGAGAUGGACACUGAGACACGGGUCCAGGCCCUACGGGGCGCAGCAGGCGCGAAACCUCCGCAAUGCUCGGAAGAGCGACGGGGGGACCCCAAGUGCCGUGGUACAACCACGGCUUUUCCGGAGUGUAGGAAGCUCCGGGAAUAAGGGCUGGGCAAGGCCGGUGGCAGCCGCCGCGGUAAUACCGGCGGCCCGAGUGGUGGCCACUAUUAUUGGGCCUAAAGCGUCCGUAGCCGGGCUUGUAAGUCCCUGGCGAAAUCCCACGGCUCAACCGUGGGGCUUGCUGGGGAUACUGCAAGCCUUGGGACCGGGAGAGGCCGGGGGUACUCCUGGGGUAGGGGUGAAAUCCUAUAAUCCCAGGAGGACCGCCAGUGGCGAAGGCGCCCGGCUGGAACGGGUCCGACGGUGAGGGACGAAGGCCAGGGGAGCAAACCGGAUUAGAUACCCGGGUAGUCCUGGCUGUAAAGGAUGCGGGCUAGGUGUUGCUUGGACUUCGAGUCCAGGCAGUGCCGCAGGGAAGCCGUUAAGCCCGCCGCCUGGGGAGUACGGCCGCAAGGCUGAAACUUAAAGGAAUUGGCGGGGGAGCACUACAAGGGGUGGAGCGUGCGGUUUAAUUGGAUUCAACGCCGGGAACCUCACCGGGGGCGACGGCAGAAUGAAGGCCAGGCUGAAGGUCUUGCCGGACACGCCGAGAGGAGGUGCAUGGCCGCCGUCAGCUCGUACCGUGAGGCGUCCACUUAAGUGUGGUAACGAGCGAGACCCGCGCCCCCAGUUGCCAGCCCUUCCCUUUGGGAAGGAGGCACUCUGGGGGGACUGCCGGCGAUAAGCCGGAGGAAGGAGCGGGCGACGGUAGGUCAGUAUGCCCCGAAACCCCCGGGCUACACGCGCGCUACAAUGGGUGGGACAAUGGGACCCGACCCCGAAAGGGGAAGGAAAUCCCCUAAACCCGCCCCCAGUUCGGAUUGCGGGCUGCAACUCGCCCGCAUGAAGCUGGAAUCCCUAG